CACACAAAACAAGCGGUGAAUGCUUUGGGGUGGGGUGACUGCGUACCUUUUGUAUAAUGGGUCAGCGACUUAUAUUCUGUAGCAAGGUUAACCGAAUAGGGGAGCCGGAGGGAAACCGAGUCUUAAUUGGGCGUUAAGUUGCAGGGUAUAGACCCGAAACCCGGUGAUCUAGCCAUGGGCAGGUUGAAGGUUGGGUAACACUAACUGGAGGACCGAACCGACUAAUGUUGAAAAAUUAGCGGAUGACCUGUGGCUGGGGGUGAAAGGCCAAUCAAACCGGGAGAUAGCUGGUUCUCCCCGAAAGCUAUUUAGGUAGCGCCUCGUGAAUUCAUCUCCGGGGGUAGAGCACUGUUUCGGCUAGGGGGCCAUCCCGGCUUACCAACCCGAUGCAAACUGCGAAUACCGGAGAAUGUUAUCACGGGAGACACACGGCGGGUGCUAACGUCCGUCGUGAAGAGGGAAACAACCCAGACCGCCAGCUAAGGUCCCAAAGUCAUGGUUAAGUGGGAAACGAUGUGGGAAGGCCCAGACAGCCAGGAUGUUGGCUUAGAAGCAGCCAUCAUUUAAAGAAAGCGUAAUAGCUCACUGGUCGAGUCGGCCUGCGCGGAAGAUGUAACGGGGCUAAACCAU
rnacentral:rRNA from 1 species